rnacentral:rRNA from 1 species
AUUGAACGCUGGCGGCAUGCCUUACACAUGCAAGUCGAACGGCAGCACGGGAGCAAUCCUGGUGGCGAGUGGCGAACGGGUGAGUAAUAUAUCGGAACGUGCCCGGUCGUGGGGGAUAACGUAGCGAAAGCUACGCUAAUACCGCAUACGAUCUACGGAUGAAAGCGGGGGGAUCGCAAGACCUCGCGCGAUUGGAGCGGCCGAUAUCAGAUUAGGUAGUUGGUGAGGUAAAGGCUCACCAAGCCGACGAUCUGUAGCUGGUCUGAGAGGACGACCAGCCACACUGGGACUGAGACACGGCCCAGACUCCUACGGGAGGCAGCAGUGGGGAAUUUUGGACAAUGGGCGCAAGCCUGAUCCAGCAAUGCCGCGUGCAGGAUGAAGGCCU